AUGUGUUUGUUCGUUGUUUAUUUGCUUACACAUGAAGACUCUUGUAAAGCCAUACAUUUACAAUUGUUGGUAUUCUUAUCCAGAUGGCAGUUUGCAGAGCAUUUUAGCUGUUGACCGAAGAUUUAAAAAUUUUGUUUUUGGUAUCACCUUCUAGGAAUUUUAUUUCCUUUCCUAAUUAUUGGUGUUUCCAGUUUAGAUUUUUUGGCAUUAAUCGUUUUGCCUUGGUGCUUACUUUCAAACUUUAUGUUUUCUAGGACUUUGGGUUUUGUGCAUGUUCCUUUUCUGAGUUUACUUGAGUAAGACUGUUGCAGUCUGAUGAACACUGUUAAGUUUAGUGUCUUCUGACAACAUAUAGACUAUUUGCUUAUAUUGUGUAUUUGGUGUGAGAUUUCGUUUCUGAAUAUAUGUAGGAUAUACACCUACUUAACAUUAGAGACUGAAAGCCUGCGGUUAAAGCUCUUUUGAUGUAAAAUCGCUCUUAGCUUUUACAAAUAUCAGUUGCUUUGCAGGGUCUGUCACAUUUCAGACCUGCCAUGUUUUACUUCGUCAAAAGUAGCUUUUAGAUGAUGGGACAAUUGCUGUUACAUGUGUGCACAAGUAUGGCAAUUGCUACAGAGCAGGGUUGGGGAAGGUGAUAUCCGGUCGAUUUAUUUUUAUAGCUUAUGGGGUGGAGAUUAGAAAAGUCAAGUUAUUGCAUACAAAUGGUGGAGAUUCUCCUUUGGAUGGAAAAUAGAAAUGGUGUAAAAUGGGUUCAAGACGCAUCAUAUUCAAUAAUUGUACUGAAUGAAGCAUAGGUCAUUCAGUGUACUCUUUACUAUUGUGAGAAGUUAAAGUUGCUGAAUGACAUGAUUGACAAUUUAUUUCUUUAUCUCAUGGUAAACUGGAAAGUAAGAUCUCUCAUGUGGUUUUGGAUUUUGGAAGCUAUGAUAGUGGCAAGAUGGUAUAUGCUCUAGUAUACAAACGAAGGAAUAAUAUGUUUGAAAUAAA